GCGCGAUGGCUCGAGGGGUUUCUCACAUCGAUUCCAGGGGCCGGUCUCUCGCGGGGGUUCCAUGGGUUUCUCACACCGAUUUCGUAGGACUCUCGCGACAGUAUAAGGGAUUUCUCAAACCGAUUUCGGAGGUCUCCCGCGAAGGUCUGUCGAGCAUCCUAGAGGGGUUUCUCUGGACGAUUCAGGGAAUAUUUCGCGACGGUUUAAGGGGCUUCUCACACCGAUUCCGGAGGUCUCUUCCGGGUGUUGCAAAGAUUUCUUGAAGGAGUUCUUUUUUGGAGUGAUGACGCUGACAAGUGACGAGGAAAACUGUAUGGCGGGCCAUCUAGCGAGAGUAUAGUUGUACUAUUUGGCGAACAGCUUGGACGACGCAGCCGAACGAUAGCGAUGCGUUCAGCGCCAUCUAACCGUGGUUUGGCUAUACUAAUUCUCUAGUAGCUUGAGCGUUUUAUUAUAGAUGGCACUGAUCGCUCGAAUAUUCCAGGGAAUUUAAAAUUCUACAGUUUGGCGUGCUGGAGUGUGAAGGAAUCUUGUAGAACUUCGGCAAGGACUCAAUGGAAG